rnacentral:rRNA from 1 species
AACGAACGCUGGCGGCAGGCCUCAUACAUGCAAGUCGAGCGAUUAAGACUCCUUCGGGAGUGUAUAAAGCGGCGAACGGGUGAGUAACAGGUGGAUGAUCUACCUUCCGGUGGGGGAUAACGGCUGGAAACGGCCGCUAAUACCGCAUUCGGUUAAUACGCUGUGGCGUAUUAAAGAAAGGCGCCUCAAAGCGCCGCCGGGAGAUGAGUCCGCCCCCCAUUAGCUAGUUGGUGAGAUAACAGCUCACCAAGGCAACGAUGGGUAGCCGAACUGAGAGGUUGAUCGGCCACACUGGAACUGAGACACGGUCCAGACACCUACGGGUGGCAGCAGUAGGGAAUAUUGGGCAAUGGGCGAAAGCCCUGACCCAGCCAUGCCGCGUGAGUGAUGAAGGUCCUAGAGAUUGUAAAACUCUUUUCUGAGGAAAGAAUGAAUAGGGAAGGAAAUGUCCUUAUUUUGUACGGUACCUCAGGAAUAAGGAACGGCUAACUCCGUGCCAGCAGCCGCGGUAAACACG